UUAUACAAAUGGUGCAAUUAACUUUUGUUGGUUUUAUAAUUAAUAGUUAUUUUUAGUGUAAAGUUAACUUUUUAGGGUGAAAUUUUAAAGUUAAAUUAAAUUAAAUAUUGGGGAGUAUGAGAUUUAUGAAAAUUUAAAAAAAUUAAACUAGGAUUAGAUACCCUAUUAUUAAAAAUGUAAAGUAAACUACCAAGGGAGUAGUAGUUAUGUUCUUGAAAUUUAAAAAAUUUGGCGGUAUUUUAGUCUUUUCAGAGGAACCUGUUCUAUAAUUGAUAAUCCACGUUUUAUUGUACUUAAUUUAAAAGUUUGUAUAUCGUCGUAGUUGAGUGUCUUAGAAGAGAGUAACAUUCAAAAUUUAUAAUUUAGAUAAAAAAAAUCAGAUCAAGGCGCAGUUUAUAGUUAAGAAGAAAUGGGUUACGAUAAUAAGUGUUUUAAGUAGUUAAGGUAAUUAAAAUUGUUUUUUAAAUUGGAUUUGAAAGUAAUAUAAUUAAAUUAAAUUAUAUGAUUUAAGCUCUAAAAUAUGCACAUAUCGCCCGUCAUUUCCAUUAUUUAUAUUAAAAUGGAACAAGUCGUAACAAAGUAGAUGUACUGGAAAGUGUUUCUA
rnacentral:rRNA from 1 species